rnacentral:rRNA from 1 species
GACGAACGCUGGCGGCGUGCCUAAUACAUGCAAGUAGGACGCAGUUGCGAACGGGUGAGUAACGCGUAGGUAACUGACUAUUAGAGGGGGAUAACUAUUGGAAACGAUAGCUAAUACCGCAUACUAGUAGAAGGACCUGCGUUGUAUUAGUUAGUAGUUAGGGUAAUGGCCUACCUAGGCGACGAUACAUAGCCGACCUGAGUAGGUGAUCGGCCACACUGGUACGGAGACGAGACCCAGACGCCUACGGGAGGCAUCAGUAGGGAAUCUUCGGCAAUGUGGGGAACCCUGACCGAUCAACGCCGCGUGAGUGAAGAAGGUUUUCGGAUCGUAAAGCUCUUUUGUUAAGGAAGCGUUACUUAACCAGAAAGGGACGGCUAACUACGUGCCAGCAGCCGCGGUAAUAC